UACGUAGGGGGCUAGCGUUGCUCGGAAUCACUGGGCGUAAAGGGUGCGUAGGCGGUUUCUUAAGUCAGAGGUGAAAUCCUGGAGCUCAACUCCAGAACUGCCUUUGAUACUGAGAGUCUUGAGUAUGACAGAGGUGAGUGGAACUGCGAGUGUAGAGGUGAAAUUCGUAGAUAUUCGCAAGAACACCAGUGGCGAAGGCGGCUCACUGGGUCAUUACUGACGCUGAGGCACGAAAGCGUGGGGAGCAAACAGG
rnacentral:rRNA from 1 species